UUCCCAAAUGUGUGCUUUGUCGCC
rnacentral:siRNA from 1 species